AAAUAAAUAAAUAAAUAGUGAUAAUAAUUAAACUUAGAUGCCAUUUUAGUCUAUUUCUAUUUAUUACAUGUGGGCGCCAAACAUAUUUAUUGGUUGUUUGGGAGGAUAGCUAACGAAAGAUGUGGGAUAAAAUUGACUAUUGCUUUGAUUUGAUGGUGGGAAUGGAUUAACAGUAUUGAAUAAUCCAUUGGGUAUUUGUAGGAAUUGUUCAUUUACUCCAAAAUUCAGUAACUUUCGAUCAGAGUAAUGUUCUGGGUUCAUAAAUUGACUAUUUAUAGUGCUUGUAAAAUGCCCAGUUUGAGGUAAUUGUUGAUGGAAAUUAUUAGAAUUUGGAAGAGAUCUAAUUGGAGCAACAAGAUGUUUGUUUAUUGACUGCAUUGAGGUUAAAGGAGGGUAAGUAAUAAAAUUUGUUGUUUGAUUAGGAUGAUUUAGCUGAUCUGAUGUUCUAUAGGAAGAAGUUGGUGGAGUAUUAGGUAUUAUAAGUUGUGAAGAGGAUGAUAGUGAUGAUGUAGGUACUGGGAAUUGAUUCAUAUUUGUAUAAUUAUGAGGGUUUUGAAAAUUGUUUUGAGAUUGGAUAAAUCUCUGAUUUGGAGUAACUUGAGAAAUGUUUCUUGGUGUAAUAUUUUUUAUUGGGUUAGAAAACAAUACUCCAUUUACUGGUGGCUUUAAUUCAUUUAUUUGUACUUGUUCUAAAGG
rnacentral:antisense_RNA from 1 species